rnacentral:rRNA from 1 species
UACGUAGGGUGCAAGCGUUACUCGGAAUCAUUGGGCGUAAAGGGUGUGUAGGCGGAUUGGUAAGUCAGGUGUGAAAGCCUUGGGCUCAACCCAAGAAGAGCAUUUGAUACUGCCAUUCUAGAAUUCAGGAGAGGAAGAUGGAAUUCCCGGUGUAGAGGUGAAAUCCGUAGAUAUCGGGAGGAACACCAGAGGCGAAGGCGGUCUUCUGGACUGAUAUUGACGCUGAGACACGAAAGCGUGGGUAG